rnacentral:rRNA from 1 species
CGUAGGUGGCGAGCGUUGUCCGGAAUUACUGGGUGUAAAGGGCGUGUAGGCGGGAAUGCAAGUCAGAUGUGAAAUGCCGAGGCUUAACCUCGGAGCUGCAUCUGAAACUGCGUUUCUUGAGUGUCGGAGAGGAAAGUGGAAUUCCCAGUGUAGCGGUGAAAUGCGUAGAUAUUGGGAGGAACACCAGUGGCGAAGGCGACUUUCUGGACGAUAACUGACGCUGAGGCGCGAAAGCGUGGGGAGCAAACAGGAUUAGAUACCCUGGUAGUCCACGCCGUAAACGAUGGAUACUAGGUGUGGGAGGUAUCGACCCCUUCCGUGCCGCAGUUAACACAAUAAGUAUCCCACCUGGGGAGUACGGCCGCAAGGUUG